GUGCUGGCUUUGGUAACACAUAUUCUAAAAUUGGAGUAAUACAGAGAAGAUUAGCAUGGCCUCUGUGCAAGGAUGAUACAAAAAUUUGAAACUUUUUUUUUUUUUUU
ensembl:snRNA U6 U6 spliceosomal RNA